GAUUUAAGCAACUACAAGGCGACAGUUUGUCGUAGGUUGCACACGACUUUCGAUAGACAAGGCAGGACGUGCGGAGGUUUACCUUUAGCUCUCUUUAAGUGUACAGAAAAAUACCGGAAAAAGAUGAAGUUGAAAGUUAUUUUUCUGUUUGUCUGCGCACUGAAAGUGAUUGAAGUUAAAUGCCAAAUGUUUGGUCUUGGCGAAAACCCGUUAAUGAACAUGAUGCUGAUGAGACAAUUUAUGGGCGGUGACAGCGGGGGUAGCACCGGGUCCCAAAGGACCACCACUGGUCAGACUGGUCAGACUGGUCAAACUUCGUCUACCAGCCUUUUCGGUGGCAGUAAUGCAAUGAUGUACCCGUUAUUGAUGGGAGGAGGAGGCAGUGAAAAUUUAAUGGCGAUGAUGAUGUGCAAUCGCAUGCCCGGGAUGAUGAGACUGAUGUGCAUGUCUAACAUGGCCUAGUACUGCCGCCUUUCGUCCACUGACUCCGGGCUCGCGCGAGCGACAUACGUGUACAACUGGGGGCUAUGGGAGAUUUCUGCAGGAAGAGUGCUUAGCAAACAUUAAUAUGUAAACAAUACAUUGACGCCUUGUGACAAAUCCGCAAUAAAAUAUUGACAAAUAAAAAGCCACAAAGAAAUAUUGACCAAUCAAUUGAUUCCAUUUAAUGUUGACCAAUCAAUUGACUCGAUGAAAUAUUCACCAAUCAAUUGACUCCAUGAAUUAUUGACUAAACAAAGGCGCGUUAAACAAGUAUUAUCCGCGAGUGUGUGCGAAUGUUUUUUCCAAUGUCACUAGCGUGCAUCGAAAGCCAAAAUGAUCGUUUUGCAUUGUUGCUGAUAUUCCCAAGUGGGUUUAAUAAUUAACAUAGGCAAUGAGAAAAUCCUAAAGAAUGUAUUGUUAUGUUUAAUAGUUAUAACACUCAAUUAUUAAUGCCGUGUCCGAAUGCUUGAAAGAAAGAUAUAUUAGCACUCAUCUCCUCAUAUCACAAUUUUGAUGUUCAUCGGACGUUUGCAUAUUUGUUUGCAUCAGAUACUAAAAAGUAAACGCAUUCAUUUCAAGCUUGCCCAAACGCGCUAGACAAUCAAACUUAUAACAAAAUCACGAACAAAAUUAUUAAAAUUGGUGCAGCGUGUUGCGUUACAUUUUUGUUUAUUUAAAAAAUAUGGUAGCCUGAACAUUCGAACGCCAACAUCCACUAAGAGUAAAUGAAUAUGCACUUUAUGAUACAUUGUGGUAUGAGGAAUUCGCCGUGAUAGAACAUUAUUAAUAUAUGUAUAUUGUGUUGUUCUUGGUACGUACUUCUUGCCCAUACUUUAUGUUAUAAGCCACCAUCAAUUUGUUACAAAAAAAUGUGAAAAGAA